GUGAGGAAUUUUCCGCAAUGGGCGAAAGCCUGACGGAGCAAUGCCGCGUGAAGGAUGAAGGCCUAUGGGUUGUAAACUUCUUUUCUCAGAAAGGAAUUAUGACGGUAUCUGAGGAAUAAGCAUCGGCUAACUCUGUGCCAGCAGCCGCGGUAAGACAGAGGAUGCAAGCGUUAUCCGGAAUGAUUGGGCGUAAAGCGUCUGUAGGUUGUUUAAAAAGUAUUCUGUCAAAGAUUAGGGCUUAACCCUAGAUAGGCAGAAUAAACUUUUAUGCUAGAGUGUGGUAGAGGCAGAGGGAAUUCCCGGUGGAGCGGUGAAAUGCGUAGAUAUCGGGAGGAACACCAAAGGCGAAGGCACUCUGCUGGGCCAAUACUAACACUGAGAGACGAAAGCGAGGGGAGCAAAUGGGAUUAGAAACCCGGGUAGUCC
rnacentral:rRNA from 1 species